rnacentral:rRNA from 1 species
GAUGAACGCUGGCGGCGUGCCUAAUACAUGCAAGUCGAGCGAACGGACGAGAAGCUUGCUUCUCUGAUGUUAGCGGCGGACGGGUGAGUAACACGUGGAUAACCUACCUAUAAGACUGGGAUAACUUCGGGAAACCGUAGCUAAUACCGGAUAAUAUUUUGAACUGCAUGGUUCAAAAGUGAAAGACGGUCUUGCUGUCACUUAUAGAUGGAUCCGCGCUGCAUUAGCUAGUUGGUAAGGUAACGGCUUACCAAGGCAACGAUGCAUAGCCGACCUGAGAGGGUGAUCGGCCACACUGGAACUGAGACACGGUCCAGACUCCUACGGGAGGCAGCAGUAGGGAAUCUUCCGCAAUGGGCGAAAGCCUGACGGAGCAACGCCGCGUGAGUGAUGAAGGUCUUCGGAUCGUAAAACUCUGUUAUUAGGGAAGAACAUAUGUGUAAGUAACUGUGCACAUCUUGACGGUACCUAAUCAGAAAGCCACGGCUAACUACGUG